UCGGCUAUGCGUUUUAAUUUUUGACUCUAUUUGUUGUGAUAUCCUAAGUUUUUGAAUUAUUUUUACGUUAUUUUUUGUAAAAUAUUUUAGUUUUUUUUAGUUUCUUGUGGUAUCAAAAAUUUGUUUUUUGAACUGGAUUAGUACCCAGGUAAUCAAAAUUUAAUAAUUCGGGAGUAAAGUUUUAUUUAAACCGAAAAAAUAUUGACUGACUUUAGAUUUUUCUUUGGAAUAUGUGAUUUGCUGGAGAGCCCUCUUUUUUGGUGAGUUUUAUUGGCAUAUGUAUGAUUGUUUAGCUUUUAUUUUAUUUUGUAGUGCUUUUUGUUUUGGCAUUUAAAACAGAUAUAUAUUUGGCUUAUGAAUUCAUGUUUCAUGUGUUACUAUUAUAAAUUUUUUUUGGAUUAAUUUUUUAUUUUUUUUUUGAAAUUGGAAAAGAAAGUAAUUUUUUCUUAAUGUCUUAAUGAAUUUAAUGAAUAAAGUGGUACAAACCAUCCGUCAAUGGCCUAAAGGGGCGUAAGUUG
rnacentral:ncRNA from 1 species